GAGGGCUGCAGUUAGCCAGUCCAGGAGACCUGCAGAGGUGCCAGCUCACACAGAGGGAACUUUGUGGAGGCUCUAGCAGGAACGUGUGGGUUCUGCAUACCCAAGGCUGUGUGCCUAGGUGUACCUUUCCCUGGGACUUUGCCUCUCUGGGUCAGUGUCGGUCACAGGCUUGUGCAUGGCUUGCUGGAGGGAACUUGAGACACCUGAAGAAUGGCCCAGCUCUGGCUGAACUAGAUCCAGUCGUCAUGGAUGGCCUGACUCUCCAUCCUAACAGUUCAGAGACCGAAGUAGCUUGGACAGGAGCAGUCAAGCAGGCCUUCCCCUCCCAGACCCUUAAGUGGCAGUGCCAGUGAUGUGACCUAGGGCAUUGGGCUCUCACACGCUGGCCCUCCAUUGAUUCUUUAGUGUUCUUGCGUGUGGCUUCUAUCACAUAUUGUCCAUGGACAGUCAGAGACCCAUGGCCCCACAUACAGCCUUAACUUCCCCCAGAAUACUAUACUCACAGCAAAAUGCAUACUGGAGUCACAGUGGUGUUGGUUCCUGGUUCCACUUUCUAACUCUCUUAAACGAAGCUUUCUUGUCCAUAAAACUGUCAUAGUAAUAGCUACUUCUUAGGUUCUCACUAAUUCAUUUAUACCAUACCAACCACAUCUCAGCAAAUGUCAGCCGACAAGCCAAGACCAGGUGGCUAAGGGGCAGGGCUCCUCC
rnacentral:lncRNA from 1 species